UCCUACGGGACGCAGCAGUGGGGAAUCUUGCGCAAUGGACGAAAGUCUGACGCAGCGACGCCGCGUGGGCGACGAAGGCCUUCGGGUUGUAAAGCCCUGUGGGGAGGGACGAACACGCUUCAUUCGAACAGGGUGGAGUGUUGACGGUACCUCCUUAGCAAGCACCGGCUAACUCUGUGCCAGCAGCCGCGGUAAGACAGAGGGUGCAAACGUUGCUCGGAAUUACUGGGCGUAAAGCGCGUGUAGGCGGUUUCGCAAGUCAGGUGUGAAAGCCCGGGGCUCAACCCCGGAAGUGCACUUGAUACUACGGAGCUUGAGUACUGAAGAGGAGAGCGGAAUUCCCGGUGUAGAGGUGAAAUUCGUAGAUAUCGGGAGGAACACCAGUGGCGAAGGCGGCUCUCUGGGCAGAUACUGACGCUGAGACGCGAAAGCAUGGGGAGCAAACAGGAUUAGAUACCCUGGU
rnacentral:rRNA from 1 species